rnacentral:rRNA from 1 species
CAGUAGCCGCGGGAAUACGUAGGUCCCGAGCGUUGUCCGGAUUUAUUGGGCGUAAAGCGAGCGCAGGCGGUUAGAUAAGUCUGAAGUUAAAGGCUGUGGCUUAACCAUAGUACGCUUUGGAAACUGUUUAACUUGAGUGCAAGAGGGGAGAGUGGAAUUCCAUGUGUAGCGGUGAAAUGCGUAGAUAUAUGGAGGAACACCGGUGGUGAAAGCGGCUCUCUGGCUUGUAACUGACGCUGAGGCUCGAAAGCGUGGGGCGCAAACAGGAUUAGAUACCCCAGUAGUCCCUGUCUCUUAUACA